rnacentral:rRNA from 1 species
GACGUAGGGCGCGAGCGUUGUCCGGAUUUAUUGGGCGUAAAGAGCUCGUAGGCGGCUUGUCGCGUCGUCCGUGAAAACCCACAGCUCAACUGUGGGCUUGCGGUCGAUACGGGCAGGCUAGAGUCCGGAAGAGGAGAGUGGAAUUCCUGGUGUAGCGGUGAAAUGCGCAGAUAUCAGGAAGAACACCCGUGGCGAAGGCGGCUCUCUGGGACGGUACUGACGCUGAGACGCGAAAGCGUGGGGAGCGAACAGG